AUUGAACGCUGGCGGCAGGCUUAACACAUGCAAGUCGAGCGCGCGGCGGACGGGUGCGUAAUGUCUGGGAAACUGCCUGCUGGAGGGGGAUAACUACUGGAAACGGUAGCUAAUACCGCAUACCAUCAUAUGUGCCCAGAUGGGAUUAGCUUGUAGGUGGGGUAAUGGCUUACCUAGGCGACGAUCCCUUGCUGGUCUGAGAGGAUGACCAGCCACACUGGAACUGAGACACGGCCCAGACUCCUACGGGAGGCAGCAGUGGGGAAUAUUGCACAAUGGGCGCAAGCCUGAUGCAGCCAUGCCGCGUGUGUGAAGAAGGCCUUCGGGUUGUAAAGUACUUUCAGCCGGGAGGCGUUACCGACAGAAGAAGCACCGGCUAACUCCGUGCCAGCAGCCGCGGUAAUUC
rnacentral:rRNA from 1 species